CAGCCAACUGGUUGUCAACCAAAACCAGUAGAAUGUAAAGCUUCAUAAAAAUAAAGGAUUUAAAGAUACUGUCAUGUCUGAAUGGUAGUCCUGAGAUUGCGGCAGCCCUCACAUGAUGAGCCAGAGGAGGAAGCCUCAUGUGAAAGAAAGCAGGACCCACAGCCAUAGUUGCACAGAUCUAUUCAAGCCACGCUGAUCACUGCGCUAACCUCUGGAUUUGUUUGGUUACAGCAG
rnacentral:lncRNA from 1 species